AACUUACUGAAGAGUCCCAAAUGGGACGAAAUGCGCAUCCUAGAU
rnacentral:hammerhead_ribozyme from 1 species